UUCAAUACAAAUCCAUUUGAUUUGGAUGGACAAGAGAUGACAAGUGAAGCUCAAUCUGUGUCAGCUAUUCAUGAAGCAAGAGAGGGAGAAGGUAGCAAAAGUAGAAAGCGUAAGCAGAGUCAUGUUGGAGCAGCUCUCGAAGGCUAUGUGGAGUUCAAAAAGAGCCAAACUAACAAGGCACUUGAUGCUCUUAAAGAACUUUCCAUGAGGAAGUGUAUGAAGGAAAUGGAAGCAAUGGAUGGAUUCACAGAUGAGGAGAAGUCAUAUGCUGUGGAGGUCUUUGAGUCCGAGAUUAAUAGAGAGGCUUUCAUGUCAACAAUGAACCACAAUGUUCGAAGAAUGUGGCUAAAGCGCAAAAUCAGAGUGCUAAGUGAAAGCAACACUUGAAGCUGACAUGGAGAAGGAAAAUGGAAUAACAAUCCACAUGAAGCUUGUAAAAAAGGAGUUAAACAAAUAAUUUAUUCUAGUGUCAAAGUUCAUAACGAAAGGACUUGUACUCUGUUUUUAUGCUAUAUUGUCUAUUUGUACGUGUGAAUGAAGAUGAUCUUAUGUGAUGUGAUGAUGGAUAGAUUAACUUUGUUGGAUAUUAGAUGAUCAUGUCCUAUGCAUGUUUUUAGAUUUUUAGUGA